GACGAACGCUGGCGGCGUGCCUAACACAUGCAAGUCGAACGAUGAAGCUGGAGCUUGCUCUGGUGGAUUAGUGGCGAACGGGUGAGUAACACGUGAGUAACCUGCCCUGGACUCUGGGAUAACCCCGAGAAAUCGGAGCUAAUACCGGAUAGGACCUUGGAUCGCAUGAUCUGGGGUGGAAAGUUUUACGGUCUGGGAUGGACUCGCGGCCUAUCAGCUUGUUGGUGAGGUAAUGGCUCACCAAGGCGUCGACGGGUAGCCGGCCUGAGAGGGUGACCGGCCACACUGGGACUGAGACACGGCCCAGACUCCUACGGGAGGCAGCAGUGGGGAAUAUUGCACAAUGGGCGCAAGCCUGAUGCAGCAACGUCGCGUGCGGGAUGACGGCCUUCGGGUUGUAAACCGCUUUUAGUAAGGAAGAAGCCGCAAGGUGACGGUACUUGCAGAAAAAGGACCGGCUAACUACGUGCCAGCAGCCGCAGUAAUAC
rnacentral:rRNA from 1 species